AUAUAAAUUGUUGGGUAUGUCAAAUUGAUUAUUACAAAGUUGUAGACCAAAAUUGCAUCAAUUGUUGGGUCUAUUGUUGUUGGGUGAAAUUGUGCACACAAAGUGUUUGUUGAUUUGUCCCAUUGGCCUAGCACCUUACUUUCACUUAUCUUUUGGCUUCUAGAACUAGUAAUUACUUGCCUAGUUGCAUAUUUUGUUUGUGAAUUGUGCUACCCUUGUGGAUUAUCAUCCUGAGAGCAAGUGAGGGAGAGUAUCCUAGCCACCAAAAUUUCUAAGCCCUCCGAGUGACAUUGGGUGUGUGUUUUGGGGAAAAGGGGUACAAAAUAUAGGAUGUGAGCUCCUCACUAAAUUAUCAAUUCUCGAGUGUGUGUGUUAUUUGUGUUACUAACAAAAGGGACUUGUCCCUAGUUUUGUACAUUUUGUUUUGUAGGUACAUCAAUAUGGGUUCGUAUGCCGAGUCCUCAAUUGAGGAGAUGUUGGCCACUUUGAUAAAUAAGGUCGACAAGAUUGAUACACGUGUGUCCACAAUGCAAGCUAGUACAUCUACCAUGCUUAAAGAUAGUGUCUCUAUAAACAAGCAAGUUCAUCCAAGAAACACUACUUUGAGUUGGAAAGGCUUUAACCCCCGACUUGGUGGUGGUGACACGAGCCAAAGGAGUAUUUCCCCAAAGAAGGUGGACGUAUCUCAUUCUAGCUAUCGAACGAAGGUUUCGUCGUGGUUGUCAUCCAAUUUCACUCCUUGUGUUGCAUUUUAAUCUAUUGCCGGGCUUAGAUUGAAUGUCAAGUUUGCAGAAAUGGGAACCUCCUCCAUCGGGCACUCUUAUGAUGAAUAUUGAUAUAAAUGUUAUCCAGAAUGGUCGAGUUGGAUUGGGGGUGAUCUUUAGAGAUGAAAAGAGGAUGGUUGUCUUCCCUUGUAAGACUGAACUUAGAGUGGAUGGGUCAACGACAUUGAUGGAAGGGGACUACAUGGUGAUGUGGAUCUUGAUUCCUACAGUGAGGUUGUGAAAGAUGACAUCUUGGCUAUUGCGAGAAGAGUUGACGUCGUCGAUUUUCAAUUCAUCCCUAGAGCUUGUAAUCGUG